CAAACUAUUUUGCGCCUGAGUCGAUUCAAUUAUCAAACGAAACGGACUAAAAGCCCAUCAAUCAUCCCUUUUCUCCUUUGUCCAACAAUACAGACAUUUUACUCUCUUUUUUUUUUUUUGUCCUCAAAAACCCACCUCACCUAAAAUAGUAGAAAUAUAUAAAACGAUGAAAACGAACAGAACCCUUAAAUUUAAAUGGAUCUAAGUUUGAGAAUCUUAUUAUGAUGUUCGAACUUUGAUAUCGUGGUGUGUAUACAUAUUUGGCUAUUUGCCCAC
rnacentral:lncRNA from 1 species